rnacentral:rRNA from 1 species
GGGGUGCUUACCAUGCAGUCGAACGAUGAUCCCCAGCUUGCUGGGGGGAUUAGUGGCGAACGGGUGAGUAACACGUGAGUAACCUGCCCUUGACUCUGGGAUAAGCCUGGGAAACUGGGUCUAAUACUGGAUACGACCUUCUGGCGCAUGCCAUGUGGGUGGAAAGCUUUUGUGGUUUUGGAUGGACUCGCGGCCUAUCAGCUUGUUGGUGGGGUAAUGGCCUACCAAGGCGACGACGGGUAGCCGGCCUGAGAGGGUGGACGGCCACACUGGGACUGAGACACGGCCCAGACUCCUACGGGAGGCAGCAGUGGGGAAUAUUGCACAAUGGGCGCAAGCCUGAUGCAGCGACGCCGCGUGAGGGAUGAAGGCCUUCGGGUUGUAAACCUCUUUCAGUAGGGAAGAAGCGAAAGUGACGGUACCUGCAGAAGAAGCGCCGGCUAACUACGUGCCAGCAGCCGCGGUAAUACGUAGGGCGCAAGCGUUAUCCGGAAUUAUUGGGCGUAAAGAGCUCGUAGGCGGUUUGUCGCGUCUGCCGUGAAAGUCCGGGGCUUAACUCCGGAUCUGCGGUGGGUACGGGCAGACUUGAGUGAUGUAGGGGAGACUGGAAUUCCUGGUGUAGCGGUGAAAUGCGCAGAUAUCAGGAGGAACACCGAUGGCGAAGGCAGGUCUCUGGGCAUUAACUGACGCUGAGGAGCGAAAGCAUGGGGAGCGAACAGGAUUAGAUACCCUGGUAGUCCAUGCCGUAAACGUUGGGCACUAGGUGUGGGGGACAUUCCACGUUUUCCGCGCCGUAGCUAACGCAUUAAGUGCCCCGCCUGGGGAGUACGGCCGCAAGGCUAAAACUCAAAGGAAUUGACGGGGGCCCGCACAAGCGGCGGAGCAUGCGGAUUAAUUCGAUGCAACGCGAAGAACCUUACCAAGGCUUGACAUGAACCGGAACGGCGCAGAGAUGUGUCGGCCACUUGUGGCCCGGUUUACAGGUGGUGCAUGGUUGUCGUCAGCUCGUGUCGUGAGAUGUUGGGUUAAGUCCCGCAACGAGCGCACCCUCGUUCCAUGUUG